rnacentral:rRNA from 1 species
AUAGAGCUUCCCCUUCGGGGGCAAAGUGACAGGUGGUGCAUGGUUGUCGUCAGCUCGUGUCGUGAGGUGUUGGGUUAAGUCCCGCAACGAGCGCAACCCUUAUUGCUAGUUGCCAUCAUUUAGUUGGGCACUCUGGCGAGACUGCCGGUGACAAACCGGAGGAAGGUGGGGAUGACGUCAAAUCAUCAUGCCCCUUAUGACCUGGGCUACACACGUGCUACAAUGGGAAGUACAACGAGUUGCGAAGUCGCGAGGCUAAGCUAAUCUCUUAAAGCUUCUCUCAGUUCGGAUUGUAGGCUGCAACUCGCCUACAUGAAGCCGGAAUCGCUAGUAAUCGCGGAUCAGCACGCCGCGGUGAAUACGUUCCCGGGCCUUGUACACACCGA